UUGAGCUUGAGGUUGUGGUGUUUUUGAACUUGAGUUUGUGGCGUGUUUGAACUUGAGGUUGUGGAAAUUGUUAAACUUGAGAAUCAGGUGUUGGUUGAACUUGAGUUUGUUUCGUGUUUGAUCUUGAGUUUGUGGUGUUUUUGAACUUGAGGUUGCUUGUUUGUUUAACUUGAGUUUGUGUGUUUUUUUAACUUGAGUUUGUUGUUUCUGAACUUGAGGUUUUGGCAAUUGUUGAACUUGAGUCUGUGGUUUUUAGUGAACUUUAGUUGGUUGCAAUUGUUGAACAUGAGUUUAUGGCGUUUGUUGAACUUGAGUUUGUGACGUGUUUGAACUUGAGUUUGUGUUAUUUUUGAACUUGAGGUUGUGGCAAUUUCUAAAAUUGAGAUUUGGGUGUUGGUUGAACUUAAAAGUUUGACAUUCGUUGAACUUCAGUUUGUGGUUUUUGUUGAACUUGAGUUUGUGUGGUGUUUGAACUUGAGUUUGUGGGUUUUUUAACUUGAGGUUGUGGUUUUUUGAACUUCAGUUUGUGGAAAUUUUUAAACUUGAGGAUUGGGUGGUGGUUGAACUUGAGUUUGUGGUGUUUUUUGAACUUGAGGUUGUGGUGUUUUUGACUUGAGUUCGUGGCGUGUUUGAACUUGAGGUUGUUGCAAUUGUUAAACUUGAGAUUUGGGUGUUGAUUGAACUUUGCCAUUUGUUGAACUUGAGUUUGUGGUGUUUGUUGAACUCCAGCUUGUGUUGUGUUUGAACUUGAGGUUGUGGUAUUUUUGAACUUGAGUUUGUGGUGUUUUUUGGACUUGAGUUUGUGGCGUGUUUGAACUUGAGAUUGUGGCGUGUUUGAACUUGAGUUUGUGGUGGUUUUUGAACUUGAGGUUGUGAAAAUUGUUAAAACUUGAGAAUCAGGUGUUGGUUGAACUUGAGUUUGGGUAUUGGUUGAACUUGAUUUUGUGCUUUGUUUGAACUUUAGUUUAUGGUUUUUUUUGUACUUGAGUUUGUGUUGUUUUUGAACUUGAGGUUGUGGAAAUUGUAAAAACAUGAGAAUCAGGUGUUGGUUGAACUUGAGUUUGUGGUUUUUGUUGAACUUGAGUUUGUGUCGUUUUUGAGCUUGAGGUUGUGGUGUUUUUGAACUUGAGUUUGUGUGUUUGUUGAACUUGAGUUUGUGUGUUUUUUUAACUUGAGUUUGUUGUUUCUGAAUUUGAGGUUGUGGCAAUUGUUGAACUUGAGUCUGUUGUUUUUAGUGAACUUUAGUUGGUGGCAUUUGUUGAACUUGAGUUUGUGACGUGUUUAAACAUGAUUUUGUGGUGUUUUUGAACUCGAGUUUGUGGUGUUUUUGAACUUGAGGUUGUUGAAAUUGUUAAACUUGAGAAUUGGGUAUUGGUUGAACUUGAGUUUGUGUGUUUGUUGAACUUGAGUUUGUGUCGUGUUUGAACUUUAGUUUGUGGUGUUUUUUGAACUUGAGGUUGUGGUGUUUUUGAACUUGAGUUUGUGGCGGUUUUUGAACUUGAGGUUGUGGCAAUUGUUGAACUUGAGUUUGUGACGUGUUUGAACUUGAUUUUGUGGUGUUUUUGAACUUGAGUUUGUGGUGUUUUUGAACUUGAGUUUGUGGUGUUUGUUGAACUUGAGUCUGUUGUUUUUAGUGAACUUUAGUUGGUGGCAAUUGUUGAACUUGAGUUUUUGGCAUUUGUUGAACUUGAGUUUGUGACGUGUUUAAACAUGAUUUUGUGGUGUUUUUGAACUCGAGUUUGUGGUAUUUUUGAACUUGAGGUUAUUGAAAUUGUUAAACUUGAGAAUUGGGUAUUGGUUGAACUUGAGUUUGUGUGUUUGUUGAACUUGAGUUUGUGUCGUGUUUGGACUUCAGUUUGUGGUGUUUUUUGAACUUGAGUUUGUGGCGGUUUUUGAACUUGAGGUUGUGGCAAUUGUUAAACUUGAGAAUUGGGAAUUGGUUGAGCUUGAGUUUGUGUUAUUUUUGAACUUGAGUUUGUGGCGUGUUUGAACUUGAGGUUGUGGAAAUUGUUAAACUUGAGAUUUGGGUGUUGAUUGAACUUGAGUUUGUUUCGUGUUUGAUCUUGAGGUUGUGGUGUUUUUUGACUUGAUGUUGCUUGUUUGUUUAACUUGAGUUUGUGUGUUUUUUGAACUUGAGUUUGUGGUUUUUUUUAACUUGAGGUUUUGGUUUUUGAACUUCAGUUUGUGGAAAUUUUUAAACUUGAGGAUUGGGUGGUGGUUGAACUUGAGUUUGUGGUGUUUUUUUGAACUUGAGGUUGUGGUGUUUUUGACUUGAGUUCGUGGCGUGUUUGAACUUGAGGUUGUUGAAAUUGUUAAACUUGAGAUUUGGGUGUUGGUUGAACUUAAAACUUUUCCAUUUUUUGAACUUGAGUUUGUGUUAUUUUUGAACUUGAGGUUGUGAAAAUUGUUAAAACUUGAGAAUCAGGUGUUGGUUGAACUUGAGUUUGUGGUUUUUGUUGAACUUGAUUUUGUGCUUUGUUUGAACUUUAGUUUAUGGGUUUUUUGUACUUGAGGUUGUGUUGUUUUUGAACUUGAGGUUGUGGAAAUUGUAAAAACUUGAGAAUAAGGUGUUGGUUGAACUUGAGUUUGUGGUUUUUGUUGAACUUGAGUUUGUGUAGUUUUUGAGCUUGAGGUUGUGGUGUUUUUGAACUUGAGUUUGCGUGUUUGUUGAACUUGAGUUUGUGUGUUUUUUUAACUUGAGUUUGUUGUUUCUGAAUUUGAGGUUGUGGCAAUUGUUGAACUUGAGUCUGUUGUUUUUAGUGAACUUUAGUUGGUGGCAUUUGUUGAACUUGAGUUUGUGACGUGUUUAAACAUGAUUUUGUGGUGUUUUUGAACUCGAGUUUGUGGUGUUUUUGAACUUGAGGUUGUGGAAUUUGUUAAACUUGAGAAUUUGGUAUUGGUUGAUCUUGAGUUUGUGGUUUUUUUUGAACUUGAGUUUGUUUCGUGUUUGAACUUGAGGUUGUGGUUUUUUGAACUUGAGGUUGUGGUGUUUUUGAACUUGAGUUUGUGGCGGUUUUUGAACUUGAGGUUGUGGCAAUUGUUGAACUUGAGUUUGUGACGUGUUUGAACUUGAUUUUGUGGUGUUUUUGAACUCGAGUUUGUGGUGUUUUUGAACUUGAGUUUGUGGUGUUUGUUGAACUUGAGUCUGUUGUUUUUAGUGAACUUUAGUUGGUGGCAAUUGUUGAACUUGAGUUUUUGGCAUUUGUUGAACUUGAGUUUGUGACGUGUUUAAACAUGAUUUUGUGGUGUUUUUGAACUCGAGUUUGUGGUAUUUUUGAACUUGAG
rnacentral:lncRNA from 1 species